UGAAGCAGACUCUGUUUCUUCGGAUCUGCACGCCCCCGCUGUCGCUCCGUACUCGCGCCGCCACAACUCGACAGCUCGGCCCUCCACCGCCGGCCGCCGGCCGCCGGCCGCGACAAGAGCUCCCCAGUUUCUCAUCUGUGCCAAUUCGACUCCAAUCGCUCAAACUUGGGCUGCCCAGAAGUUUCCCCUCAGGCGCUUACCAUCCCUGAGUACUGUUCCACGUGCUCACCGCCACCGCUUCCUGGCAUCUCCGCCCAUACGUGCCUCAGGCCAAUCCACCCCGGAAGUUGCUGCCUCUGCAGGUGCUAGCAGCCGGAUGGUAUACCAGUGAAGCCCAACCGAUAUGAGCACAACCUCACGCGCCGGCAGCUUCGAUGUGAAGAGUGACUUAUAUUGCGGACAAUUAUCUAGGAAGCAAGUGAAAGGAAAUUCAAGUAACCAUACAACAUCCAUUGGAAUGCCAAGACGGGCUCCUUUUCAAGAUAUUACAAAUGUGGUUGACUCACAUAGUUUAUCAAAGAGAAAACAAGCGCAAAAUAUUCUUGGUUCAGCGGAUCAUCCAAUUACUGGGACGAAACGAUUUGUCACCUCCUGUCCUACAGUUACAGGUCCAUUUGCCAAAUUUGCAUACGGUCUGUUAUAAAGACUGCGAUAAUUUGGAAAAUGUGAUUAGUAUAGAAUCAUCUUCCAAGACAAUGCUUACCGAGUUUUUUAGAAUGAAUUCCAUUGAUCCAUAUGCUAGAAAUUUCCUAUAUAAGGAAUUCCCUGAAUUUUAUACAUGGCAAAGGAACCGCAAAACAUGGAAAUGACGCACCCAGAGAAUUCAAAUAGGUCGACUUGUUGCGGCUCACCCUGCAGAAGGAGAACGCUAUUACUUGAGAAUAUUGCUAAACCAUGUGAGGGGGCCCACAUCUUUUGAUGAUUUACGUACUGUUGAUGGUGUUAUUUUCUCCACAUUUAGAGAAGCUGCGGAGAGAAGGGGUCUCAUAGAAGCGGAUAAUAGUAUUUUUGACUGUCUCACUGAAGCUGCUACAUUUCAAAUGCCCUAUGCACUUAGACGGCUUUUUGCUACAGUUUUGGCAUUUUGCGAAGUUACAAAUGUUCGUGCAUUAUGGAACAAACACUUUGAAGCAAUGUCUGAUGAUUUUCUUAGGGAGAGCAUAAGUGAUGAAGCAGUCGAGAAACUGGUGCUUGGAGAUAUUCAAGAUUUGUUAUAUUCCAUGGGAAAGGACAUCAAGACCUUUGAUCUUCCAAAUCUAUUGGAUGCUGAUGACCUAGAUAGCUUAGAGGCUAAAGAACUGACUGAAGAAAUGUCUAUUAAAGUUGCUAAAGAAGACCUGGAGCUGGAGGCAACUCUAAACAAUGAACAACAACUUGCUUUUGAUGAAAUAAUGGAUCAUGUGUUGCACACGAAGGGUAAGGUCUUCUUCAUCGAUGGUCCAGGAGGUACAGGAAAGACGUACCUUUAUAAAGCUUUAUUGGCUAAAGUACGAUCCAUGGGGUUGAUAGCCAUUGCAACAGCAACAUCUGGCAUUGCAGCUUCUAUCAUGCCUGGUGGCCGGACUGAAGAUGAUGUGCUUCCCUUCAAGUUCAAGAGAAAGCAAUUUCCAAUUCGUCUUAGCUUUGCAAUGACAAUCAAUAAAGCUCAAGGCCAAACCAUUCCACAUGUUGGUAUCUACCUUCCAGAACCUGUUUUCUCUCACGGUCAACUAUAUGUUGCAUUGUCUCGAGGAAUAUCAAGGCAAACAACAAGAAUACUUGCCAAGCCAAAUAAGGAUAUUGACCCAUCGGGAAAAAGUACCAAAAAUAUUGUCUAUAAGGAGUUUUUGGCAUGAUUAGUGUACAGAAUGCAGCACUGCCUCUGUUUCAUAUAUGGUCAAUUGGAAUCAUGUGCCUUUCUGGAUCUUGAACUGGCGAUCUCCGUGAAUAAGAGGGAUUUCUCCUCCUUGUGUUUCCUGUUCGACAAAGUAAAGAAGAAACUUGCUUCUCCAUGCUAUUUCAGGGUUUCUUUCAAGGGUAUAAGGAGAGUGUAAUCCUUUAGUAGUCCAUAGUUUAGCUAUGCAGGCGUCAUUGGUUUCUGGUUAGAUGAUACCAAGCGCCUUGCCUUGGAAUAUUUUGUAAAUUGUUUAACAGCGUGUUGCAAUAAAGUUUUCUCUUUCAUGUAAAAGAAAUGUUAGCCAUGUGCUUUUAUGAU